rnacentral:lncRNA from 8 species
GCCAAACACUGAUGGAAAUAUGCAUUAUUAUGCACUAGUUUCUAUAGAGGAAAUCCACAUUUGAGUCUGGCCAAUCUCUGCAAACAUUUCUAUUUACUCAACAGUAGCGUGCUUCCCAAAAAACGGUCGGUUACUGUUUUGAUAAAAGGGGUGACCCGCGAGGUUGGCUGAUGCCUCCCCUGCUCUCUCUGUACACAACCUCGCGACCCUUGGCACAGCCAGAGCAAACACAGUCUGCACGCAAUGCCGGGUCUGUGGCACAAUGAUUAACCCGUAAAUGUGCUGUCAAUCCGCUCCGUAGCCUGCAAAGGCCGCUGAGAGAAUCGGAGGGGGCAGACGAGAUUAAUUUGUUUCACGCAUUGCUCGUUUUGCGUGUCAAGCAUAUCCAUAUCUUCUUUCACUAUGUGGUUGUAUGUCUGUCUUUGUACACGCGUUUCAUAUUUUCCUUUCUUUAUGAUCAGUCCUAUUUCUUUUUUGCUCCCACAGUUUGAGUCAGCGUAAAAAAAGCGCAUGGCAGCUUCGUGCGUGACAGAAAGAUGGAUGACCGAAAUAUUUCCGCACGCAACUAUUGUUUUUCCCGGGGAAGGUGAUACAAUAUGGGGACCGGACCCCUCCUCUCCCUGUUCCGAACCCCAGCAUUCCUGUGUGUGCACUUCGAGCCGGCCGCGGGAGCGAGCGAGACAGAAUGUUGCUCAAUUACAGUUUGUGUAUAGUGUAAGUGAUUGCGUGUUGACUUACUCAAGCCAGAGGGGGUUUGUCUGAGGUCACAGUCACACAUUCAUGAGUAGUGUCAUGACCUACAUUCUUAGAAAAAAAGGUUCCAAAGGGGUUCUUUGUAGAUGGAUAGGGUUCUUCCAAGAACCCUUUUUGGAAGACAAGGGUUCUUUGUUAGGCAAAGAGUUCAACCUAGAACAUGUUUCAUCCUAAGAGCCGAUUUUGGAAGAAAGGGUUCUUUAGUGAUUCUUUGGAAAGCAAGAAGGGUUCUACAUAGAACCCUUCUGAAUCUGUAUAAGCUAUUUUAUUUAAUUGUUUCUUUAUUUUAAAUUGUGCCUGAGAAAUAAUGUUUACCUCAGUGUUUAAACUUUAACAUCAGGAGUUUGAGUAAUCUCCCUCAUUUAAAAAGAUAGCUGUGAGAAUUGUUUUAACUGUAUAUGGGAAUAUUUAUGCAUGUACUGUAUCUGGUAUUCCCUUAAUCAUUUUACAUAUACAGUACUGACAUAGUUGAUAUCUUUGCCAUGAUUUCUGUUUUUCAAAUGAGUAUUUUCUGUGAAUGUAUUGAGCAGAAAGUAGGAGAAUAGAAGGGAGUAUGAGUGAACCAGCAAUGUAUAGUAUGGUACACAGCAAAUUGGCCAGUUUAACCUAGUGUUGAUUUUUCAGUGUAACAUUUCUAGUGGAUUCAGGAGUUACAUUCAACACUCAGUGGUGUAAAAUAACCCUGUUUUGUUAUGAAUAAACAGAGUUAAGUGUGAUUAUGUAAUUUUUAUCUGUGUGGAGUAAAACACUCAAAACCACACCCAUCAUUAUCAUAUUUCCCAGCAUGCUCUAUUGCAGGUUGAUUUUUCAGAAUUGUUUGUUUCAAUGUCUGUGUUUUGGCAUGCACAUUUAUUGGUUGAUUAAUCAUAUGCUACACAAAGAUUAAUAACAUACAUUUUCAUAAACCAAUCCAAUCUGCUAGUAUUUGUACUUAUUGCACCCAUUACUGAGAUGGUUGUCCUAGUUUAACGAGAGUGACUUACAGUAAUGAGUGCAUACAUUUUUUCUACUUGUUUAUAAUUUUUUGUAUUGGUCCCCAGGGGAAUUGAACCCACAACUCUUGCAUUGCAAGUGCCAUGUUCUACCAACUCAGCCACACGGCUGAUUUCCCACUGAUCAAUGCAUCACUCCCUGCACUUAAAAAGACUACACAUUCUUCCUUCUUAGGGUUUGGGCCAUCUUCAAGUCAAAAGAAAAGACAGAGGCAAACCCUCUCAGAUGAUCGUCCCUAAAACCUAAAACAUCUGCAUAGUAGGAGAUGUCGUUAGCUUUUUCAGGGUAACAAGUACGGACGUCGUCGGACGGGGCCACAGUGUCUCCCGACCCCUCCUGUCUCAGCCUCCAGUAUUUAUGGUGCAGUAGUUUAUGUGUCGGGGGGCUAGUCUGUUAUAUCUGGAGUAUUUCUCCUGUCUUAUCCGGUGUCCUGUGUGAAUUUAAGUAUGCUCUCUCUAAUUCUUUCUCUCUCUUGGAGGACCUGAGCCCUAGGACCAUGCCUCAGGACUACCUGGCCUGAUGACUCCUUACUGUCCCCAGUCCACCUGGCCGUGCUGCUGCUCCAGUUUCAACUGUUCUGCCUGCGGCUAUGGAACCCUGACCGGUUCACCGGACGUGCUACCUGUCCCAGACCUGCUGUUUUCAACUCUCUAGAGACAGCAGGAGCGGUAGAGAUACUCUGAAUGAUCGGCUAUGAAAAGCCAACUGACAUUUGCUCCUGAGGUGCUGACCCGUUGCACCCUCGACAACCACUGUGAUUAUUGUUAUUUGACCCUGCUGGUCAUCUAUGAACAUUUGAACAUCAUAGCCUGGUUCCUCUCUAGGUUUCUUCCUAGGUUCUGGCCUUUCUAGGGAGUUUUUCCUAGCCACCGUGCUUCUACACCUGCAUUGCUUGCUGUUUGGGGUUUUAGGCUGGGUUUCUGUACAGCGCUUUGAGAUAUCAGCUGAUGUAAGAAGGGCUUUAUAAAUACAUUUAAAGUACUGCCCUAAUGGUUUACAUUACUCCAUGAAUUGGUAAUAACAAGUGGUAAUAACACAGUAAUAACAUGGUAAUAACAUAGUAUAAACAGAAAUAACAUGUUAAUAAAUAAGUGUUGUGUGCUUUGGCAUUGCGUGUAUGAACAAUGGUGAUAUUGUCUCUCUCUCCCCUCCUGACUCUGUUCAUGCAUGUUUUAUUUUCCUGAGAGUUCAAAGAAGAAGAAGACAAUCCUCUGGUAGCACAGAAUGUUCUGUCUGUUCUGUCAGACUAGAAUAAAAGACUGAGAGAUGAGUGCACCAAUCUGACCUGUCACCUAAGUGGUUAAUUGCUCUAACUACCAGUCUGUGUAAAGGGGUUAGUUGACCUCCAUAACAAACUCCUGCCCUCAUGCACACACAACAACACGCCCUCACACAGAUGCAAACCCACUCACGAAACAUUCCCUCACACUCACACACACAUACCUGGUUUGAAGGUGUGUGACAGGUGUUUGGUUGUUGCGUGCCAAAGGACUGAAGAUUUCAGCUGCCUUUACAGUCAUUACUCAGAAAG